AUUGAACGCUGGCGGCAUGCCUUACACAUGCAAGUCGAACGGCAGCGCGGGAGCAAUCCUGGCGGCGAGUGGCGAACGGGUGAGUAAUACAUCGGAACGUGCCCAAUCGUGGGGGAUAACGCAGCGAAAGCUGUGCUAAUACCGCAUACGAUCUACGGAUGAAAGCAGGGGAUCGCAAGACCUUGCGCGAAUGGAGCGGCCGAUGGCAGAUUAGGUAGUUGGUGAGGUAAAGGCUCACCAAGCCUUCGAUCUGUAGCUGGUCUGAGAGGACGACCAGCCACACUGGGACUGAGACACGGCCCAGACUCCUACGGGAGGCAGCAGUGGGGAAUUUUGGACAAUGGGCGAAAGCCUGAUCCAGCCAUGCCGCGUGCAGGAUGAAGGCCUUCGGGUUGUGAACUGCUUUUGUACGGAACGAAACGGUCUUUUCUAAUAAAGAAGGCUAAUGACGGUACCGUAAGAAUAAGCACCGGCUAACUACGUG
rnacentral:rRNA from 1 species